rnacentral:rRNA from 1 species
GAUGAACGCUGGCGGCGUGCCUAAUACAUGCAAGUCGAGCGAAGCGGGGACGGGUGAGUAACACGUGGAUAACCUCCUAUAAGACUGGGAUAACUUCGGGAAACCGUAGCUAAACCGGAUACGUAUGGAUGGAUGCGCGUUGCAUUAGCUAGUUGGUAAGGUAACGGCGUACCAGGUCAACGAUGCAUAGCCGGCCUGGGAGGGUGAUGGGCCACACUGGCACUGAGGCGCGGUCCAGACUCCUACGGGAGGCAGCAGUAGGGAAUCUUCCGCAAUGGGCGAAAGGCGGACGGAGCAACGCCGCGUGAGUGAUGAAGGUCUUCGGAUCUUAAAACUCUGUUAUUAGGGAAGCGGUACCUAAUCAGAAAGCCACGGCUAACUACGUGCCAGCAGCCGCGGUAAUAC